rnacentral:lncRNA from 1 species
UGACUUAUCUCUUUCUCCUUCAUUCUUUCUUGUCCAUCGCCGCUGGCCCUUCUCUCACCACCCAAAAUAAGAUAAACUCAAGUCUCCUCCAUCUUCUUUCUCAUCAUCUUCUUCUUCUUCUUCUUUAACCUUAGAUUUUUACUUAUUUUUGUUAUGAAUCGAUGUUUUCUCAUUUUGUAUUAUGAAUCUAAGUUUUCUCAUUUUGUAUUAUGAAUCUAAGGCUUUUAUUUUCUGGUUUUGAUCUGUGUAAGACUUUUGUUUGUAAAAAAAUAAAAUUUUGGUUGAGGAUGUUACCCAUGGGUACCCAUCCGUGAACCCGUAAACCG